rnacentral:rRNA from 1 species
UACAGAGACUGCAAGCGUUAUUCGGAAUCAUUGGGCGUAAAGCGGGUGUAGGUGGCUAAGUAAGUCAGGUGUGAAAGCCCGGGGCUCAACCUCGGAAGUGCACUUGAUACUGCAUAGCUUGAGUGUGGGAGAGGCUAUUAGAAUUCCAGGUGUAGUGGUGAAAUACGUAGAUAUCUGGAGGAAUACCGGAGGCGAAGGCGGAUAGCUGGCCCAACACUGACACUCAGACCCGAAAGUGCGGGGAUCAAACAGG